AGUGAACGCUGGCGGUAGGCCUAACACAUGCAAGUCGAACGGCAGCACAGUAAGAGCUUGCUCUUACGGGUGGCGAGUGGCGGACGGGUGAGGAAUACAUCGGAAUCUACUUUUUCGUGGGGGAUAACGUAGGGAAACUUACGCUAAUACCGCAUACGACCUACGGUUGAAAGCAGGGGAUCUUCGGACCUUGCGCGAUUGAAUGAGCCGAUGUCGGAUUAGCUAGUUGGCGGGGUAAAGGCCCACCAAGGCGACGAUCCGUAGCUGGUCUGAGAGGAUGAUCAGCCACACUGGAACUGGGACACGGUCCAGACUCCUACGGGAGGCAGCAGUGGGGAAUAUUGGACAAUGGGCGCAAGCCUGAUCCAGCCAGACCGCGUGGGUGAAGAAGGCCUUCGGGUUGUAAAGCCCUUUUGUUGGGAAAGAAAAGCAGCAGGUUAAUACCCCGCUGUUCUGACGGUACCCAAAGAAUAAGCACCGGCUAACUUCGUG
rnacentral:rRNA from 1 species